UGCUUGAAAAAUGGCAAGCUCCAGUGACUGGACAAACUACUGUGACAAGAACAACUAAAGAAGAAAAAUAUUUGUUUAGAGUUAACAAUUCCUAGGUUUCUGUCCGUGAUCAGCAGUUCAUGUUUUCUACGCUGUGAUAAGAUUGAGCAUCAGGGCAGAAAAGUGCAUGGACAAGCAAAGGUGGCCAGGAAGCACAGAGAAGAAAAUGGGAAUGUGGACCAGGUCUCAACUCUGGGCUCAAAAUAUCUCCUAUAGCUCAAUCUAUAACAAUGACAGAAUACAAUACGACCUCAGCUAGACUGGAGCAUGGCUCGAACCAAGCCUGGAAAACAAUCACCAAAACCAAAAACCAAAAGAAAGAAUGUAUACUGUGUUGAAACUGCCUGUGUUGAAACUGCCUGUGUUGCUUCCCCGA